rnacentral:rRNA from 1 species
CUACGGGGGGCACCAGUUAGGCAUAAUCUACAAUGCACGCAAGUGUGAUAGUUUGAGCCAGAGUGCGUUUCUAUUGAAACGCUUUUGUGAAAUGUAAAAAGUCUCACGAAUAAGGACUGGGUAAGACGAGUGCCAGCCGCCGCGGUAAUACUCGCGGUCCAAGUCGCAGCCAUUUUUAUUGGGUCUAAAACAUCCGUAGCUUGCUUAGUAAGUCUCUUGUGAAAUCCUGUAUCGCAAAUACAGGUCGGGCAAGAGGUACUGCUGAGCUAGAGACUGGAAGACGGAAAAAGUAUGUUCAAAGUAGCGGUAACAUGUUUUAAUCUUGAACAGACUAACAAUAGCGAAGGCAUUUUCCGGGGACAGUUCUGACAGUAAGGGAUGAAGGCUAGGGGCGCAAAACGGAUUAGAUACCCGUGUAGUC